rnacentral:rRNA from 1 species
UACGAAGGGGCUAGCGUUGCUCGGAAUCACUGGGCGUAAAGGGUGCGUAGGCGGGUUUUAAGUCAGGGUGAAAUCCUGGAGCUCAACUCCAGAACUGCCUUUGAUACUGAAGAUCUUGAGUCCGGGAGAGGUGAGUGGAACUGCGAGUGUAGAGGUGAAAUUCGUAGAUAUUCGCAAGAACACCAGUGGCGAAGGCGGCUCACUGGCCCGGUACUGACGCUGAGGCACGAAAGCGAUGG